rnacentral:rRNA from 1 species
UACGAAGGGGGCUAGCGUUGCUCGGAAUCACUGGGCGUAAAGCGCACGUAGGCGGUCUUUUAAGUCAGGGGUGAAAUCCUGGAGCUCAACUCCAGAACUGCCUUUGAUACUGAGAGACUUGAGUCCGGGAGAGGUGAGUGGAACUGCGAGUGUAGAGGUAAAAUUCGUAGAUAUUCGCAAGAACACCAGUGGCGAAGGCGGCUCACUGGCCCGGUACUGACGCUGAGGUGCGAAAGCGUGGGGAGCAAACAGG